rnacentral:rRNA from 1 species
ACGGGUGCGGAACACGUACGCAACCUUCCUUCAAGCGGGGGAUAGCUUUCGGAAACGAAAAUUAAUACCCCAUAGUAAUGUCUGAGGGCAUCUGAGGACAUUUAAAGAUUUAUCACUUGAAGAUGGGCGUGCGCCUGAUUAGGUAGUUGGCGGGGUAACGGCCCACCAAGCCUACGAUCAGUAACUGGUGUGAGAGCACGACCAGUCACACGGGCACUGAGACACGGGCCCGACUCCUACGGGAGGCAGCAGUAAGGAAUAUUGGUCAAUGGACGCAAGUCUGAACCAGCCAUGCCGCGUGGAGGAUGAAGGUCCUCUGGAUUGUAAACUUCUUUUAUCGGAGAAGAAACCCCCGUUUUCUAAUGGGGUUGACGGUACCCGAUGAAUAAGCACCGGCUAACUCCGUGCCAGCAGCCGCGGUAAUACGGAGGGUGCAAGCGUUAUCCGGAUUCACUGGGUUUAAAGGGAGCGUAGGUGGGCUGGUAAGUCAGUGGUGAAAUCUCCGGGCUUAACUCGGAAACUGCCGUUGAUACUAUCAGUCUUGAAUGUUGUGGAGGUAAGCGGAAUAUGUCAUGUAGCGGU